UGCCCGACACUACACAACCAAGACUCCAGAAAGCAGUUCUGACGGCCAAGGAGGCAGCUCUGGAUCAGUUCUCUCUAAGAAGGUAGCCUUCAGAACAUUCCGAGAGGGUUACCCUGGAAAUGAGACCGGUCCGAGGACCUCACAGCAAGUUAACUUCACUUGGGGAUACAAACAGGACUGUGAGGAGUAUAAACCUUGAUGAGAAAACAUGAGAAGGUUUUAUUUAUUUAUUUGAGAGAGUGCGCAUGCACGAGCAUGAAGCCCAACGUGGGGUUCGAUCCCAGGACCCUGAGAUCAUGACGUGAGCCGAAGGCAGACGCUUCACCAGCUGAGCCACCCAGGCGCCCUUCACAUUCAUUAACCACAGUGGACACAUACAUGUUUCACGUUCUCUCAUUGCUCUGCUCUUCACAAGAGCCUCAAGGAGACAGCGUUCUGGAGGCAAAGGUCAGAUGUUUUAUGAUGUUAGAUUGAUAUUACCAAACUGCUUUCCCAAAGGACUGCACCACCCAGGACACCCUUGCAGGACAGUAAGGAUAAAGACAGAGAAUCCAGGAAGGUGACACGACAGAAGGAUGGCCUCAUUUUAGCUGGGUGGGAUCAUGGGUGUUCCUUCUCAUUUCUCUAGUCUCUAAAUUUUCUGCAAUGCUUAUAUGACUUUUAUAAUUAAAAACAAGAAAGGUGAGCAUGAGGAGGAAGCUGGGUGCAGGGCCUAUUUGUAGGAACUCUCUGCACAAUCUCUUUAGAACUUUUCCAUAAAUCUAAAAUUAUUUCAAAAUACAAGUUUGAGAAAAAAGCUCAAAGCAGAUGGUGAUAAUUUCUGAUGCCACCCCAAAUCAGCACUGCGCCGGGUUUUGCAUGGCCUGCUCCUGUUAGGUUAUGUAAGAUCCACGGCUUGGGU